rnacentral:rRNA from 1 species
CGAGGCACUACGGUGCUGAAGCAACAAAUGCCCUGCUUCCAGGAAAAGCCUCUAAGCAUCAGGUAACAUCAAAUCGUACCCCAAACCGACACAGGUGGUCAGGUAGAGAAUACCAAGGCGCUUGAGAGAACUCGGGUGAAGGAACUAGGCAAAAUGGUGCCGUAACUUCGGGAGAAGGCACGCUGACACGUAGGUGAAGUGAUUUACUCAUGGAGCUGAAGUCAGUCGAAGAUACCAGCUGGCUGCAACUGUUUAUUAAAAACACAGCACUGUGCAAACACGAAAGUGGACGUAUACGGUGUGACGCCUGCCCGGUGCCGGAAGGUUAAUUGAUGGGGUCAGCGCAAGCGAAGCUCCUGAUCGAAGCCCCGGUAAACGGCGGCCGUAACUAUAACGGUCCUAAGGUAGCGAAAUUCCUUGUCGGGUAAGUUCCGACCUGCACGAAUGGCGUAAUGAUGGCCAGGCUGUCUCCACCCGAGACUCAGUGAAAUUGAACUCGCUGUGAAGAUGCAGUGUACCCGCGGCAAGACGGAAAGACCCCGUGAACCUUUACUAUAGCUUGACACUGAACAUUGAGCCUUGAUGUGUAGGAUAGGUGGGAGGCUUUGAAGUGUGGACGCCAGUCUGCAUGGAGCCGACCUUGAAAUACCACCCUUUAAUGUUUGAUGUUCUAACGUGGACCCGUUACCCGGGUUGCGGACAGUGUCUGGUGGGUAGUUUGACUGGGGCGGUCUCCUCCUAAAGAGUAACGGAGGAGCACGAAGGUUGGCUAAUCCUGGUCGGACAUCAGGAGGUUAGUGCAAUGGCAUAAGCCAGCUUGACUGCGAGCGUGACGGCGCGAGCAGGUGCGAAAGCAGGUCAUAGUGAUCCGGUGGUUCUGAAUGGAAGGGCCAUCGCUCAACGGAUAAAAGGUACUCCGGGGAUAACAGGCUGAUACCGCCCAAGAGUUCAUAUCGACGGCGGUGUUUGGCACCUCGAUGUCGGCUCAUCACAUCCUGGGGCUGAAGUAGGUCCCAAGGGUAUGGCUGUUCGCCAUUUAAAGUGGUACGCGAGCUGGGUUUAGAACGUCGUGAGACAGUUCGGUCCCUAUCUGCCGUGGGCGCUGGAGAACUGAGGGGGGCUGCUCCUAGUACGAGAGGACCGGAGUGGACGCAUCACUGGUGUUCGGGUUGUCAUGCCAAUGGCACUGCCCGGUAGCUAAAUGCGGAAGAGAUAAGUGCUGAAAGCAUCUAAGCACGAAACUUGCCCCGAGAUGAGUUCUCCCUGAGACUUAAAGUCUCCUGAAGGAACGUUGAAGACGACGACGUUGAUAGGCCGGGUGUGUAAGCGCAGCGAUGCGUUGAGCUAACCGGUACUAAUGAACCGU